rnacentral:rRNA from 1 species
CUACGGGUUGCUGCAGUGGGGAAUAUUGCACAAUGGGCGCAAGCCUGAUGCAGCCAUGCCGCGUGUAUGAAGAAGGCCUUCGGGUUGUAAAGUACUUUCAGCGGGGAGGAAGGGAGUAAAGUUAAUACCUUUGCUCAUUGACGUUACCCGCAGAAGAAGCACCGGCUAACUCCGUGCCAGCAGCCGCGGUAAUACGGAGGGUGCAAGCGUUAAUCGGAAUUACUGGGCGUAAAGCGCACGCAGGCGGUUUGUUAAGUCAGAUGUGAAAGCCCCGGGCUCAACCUGGGAACUGCAUCUGAUACUGGCAGGCUUGAGUCUCGUAGAGGGGGGUAGAAUUCCAGGUGUAGCGGUGAAAUGCGUAGAGAUCUGGAGGAAUACCGGUGGCGAAGGCGGCCCCCUGGACGAAGACUGACGCUCAGGUGCGAAAGCGUGGGGAGCAAACAGGAUUAGAUACCCGUGUAGUC